GCCUGACACUGACAGCUGCGGCGGCGCCCGCCGCAACGUGCCCGGGGGCGGGGCCUGGCGGGGCCACGCCCCCCCCCCGCAGCCACGCCCCCGCCGCGCCACGCCGGGCUUGGCGCGCCCGCGCUGGACCCGGUCUCGUUCCGGAUCCCGAUCCCGAUCCCGAUCCCGGUCCCGGUGCCGGUGCCGGGUUCCCAGGCGGUACCCCUGCACCGUGGGUGCGUAGGUGGGAAAAGGGCGUCCCUCGUGCUGGGCGCGUUUGUCGUCAGAGGGGGAUAUUCUCCUCCAUUUGGCUCGGGAGAGGCCCUGAUUGUGCUCCCGCACGCGACUGCUGGCACUGCACAUGAGGAAAGAUACAGGCUGGACGGAAUCCAGAGGGAAAGAAGAGGAAUGAAACACGGUCAGAGAAACGUGCGCUACCACAAGGGUUGGUUUUUGUUUUCCCGGGGUGAAAAGCAGGGGAAGAGGACACGGCAAUGGUGACCUGGUACAAAAAAAAAAAAAAGAGGUCACAAAGAGAUUGCUUUUCCUCCAAAGAGAAAGUAAUGGACUUUCUUAGCAAUCCUAAAUUCAGCCUAGAUAACUGGGGGACAAUUGAUAGUAAAGUGGGGCAGCCCAGCAUCAGGCUACCCGGGGAUACUGGAGGUUUUCAAACAGACAAGGGAGACUUCUUUUAUGGAUAAUGCAAGCUUGGUCUGUUCACUCAGGACCUUCCCAAGUCUUCACAUGGUCCUUCCAGCUCAGGCAGGAGCUGGGCUUGGCUGAAACACGGCACAUUAUUCUGCAGAACUGUAGCAUUGCUUAAAAUUUUAGCUAAAUCUGCGAUUCUGCUAUUGUGGAUCACUCCUUAGGUGCCAGCCAGCAAUGCCUAGCUUUGUGCCCGUGCAGCUGAGAGAUGUGCUCAGCGUGCCUUGGCCAUGGCGGGCAUAGCAGCACCUUGCUGGCUGGGGGACGUGCAUCCCUGAGCCUCAGCAGGAGGGGAGAGCAGCACAAAUCUCUCUCUGCUGCAGAGUUCUUUCAUUCCAGUCACAUUACUUCAUUUUCUCACCUUCAUUCAUCAACUCCAGAACCAUUAGACCCAAACCUAUGGAAAAAAGAAAAGUCUUUUGGAGCAGCAAGACAAAGCAGAAAAACGUUGCUUCCUUCAAAUUCUCUCCACACUGAGGUAUGCCGCCACCUGGAAAAAAAGGAUUACUUCUCACCCUGGGCAUUUUACAUGUGUAAUCCCUUUCACAGUCUUGUUUUCCUUACGGCAGGAGGCACAGGCUUCAACCACAAACACAUCUUCAGUCUUCUUCUGGGUUGCCUUUUAUUGUCUUCCUGUGUCGUGCUGUCUUGCAUCUUCAGCACUCCUGCUUUCCGAGCUGUGAUCCUAGGAGCAUGGAGUUCAAUGAAGAUGUGGCUGUCUCAGCUGCCUACAACACAGGCAGGACAGUGGAGUCUGGUGGCCAAAGAGAAAAUCGCAUCCGCCAUGAUCACCCCUUCCACCGGUGAGGUCUUCAGCAAGCAGCUCUGGCCUUAUAACUUCUGUUCCAUGUGCACAACAGCCCCACGCAUGUUUCUUUGUGGCUGA
rnacentral:lncRNA from 1 species